rnacentral:rRNA from 1 species
AUUGAACGCUGGCGGCAGGCCUAACACAUGCAAGUCGAGCGGAUGAAGGGAGCUUGCUCCUGGAUUCAGCGGCGGACGGGUGAGGAAUGCCUAGGAAUCUGCCUGGUAGUGGGGGAUAACGUCCGGAAACGGGCGCUAAUACCGCAUACGUCCUGAGGGAGAAAGUGGGGGAUCUUCGGACCUCACGCUAUCAGAUGAGCCUAGGUCGGAUUAGCUAGUUGGUGGGGUAAAGGCCUACCAAGGCGACGAUCCGUAACUGGUCUGAGAGGAUGAUCAGUCACACUGGAACUGAGACACGGUCCAGACUCCUACGGGAGGCAGCAGUGGGGAAUAUUGGACAAUGGGCGAAAGCCUGCUCCAGCCAUGCCGCGUGUGUGAAGAAGGUCUUCGGAUUGUAAAGCACUUUAAGUUGGGAGGAAGGGCAGUAAGUUAAUACCUUGCUGUUUUGACGUUACCAACAGAAUAAGCACCGGCUAACUUCGUG